rnacentral:rRNA from 1 species
GACGGAGGGUGCAAACGUUGUUCGGAAUCACUGGGCAUAAAGCGCACGUAGGCGGUCCGCUAAGUCAGUUGUGAAAUCCCUCGGCUCAACCGAGGAACUGCAACUGAUACUGGCGGGCUCGAGGACGGUAGGGGUGAGUGGAACUCCAGGUGGAGCGGUGAAAUGCGUAGAUAUCUGGAGGAACACCGGUGGCGAAGGCGACUCACUGGACCGUAACUGACGCUGAGGUGCGAAAGCUAGGGUAGCAAAC